rnacentral:rRNA from 1 species
AUGAAAGAUGAAAAGCCCUUGAAAGAGAGUCAACAGUACGUGAAAUUGUUGAAAGGGAAGCGCUUGCAACCAGACCUGUCCGUAGGUGAUCAGCCGCUGUUUCAGUGGUGCACUCGCUCUGCGAUCAGGCCAGCAUCGGUUUCGGCGGUCGGAUAAAGGCCUUGGGAAUGUAGCUUCCCUUCGGGGGAGUCUUAUAGCCCUCGGUGCAAUGCGGCCAGCCGGGACCGAGGACCGCGCUUCGGCUAGGAUGCUGGCGUAAUGGUUGUAAGCGACCCGUCUUGAAACACGGACCAAGGAGUCUAACAUCUAUGCGAGUGUUUGGGUGUCAAACCCAUGCGCGGAAUGAAAGUGAACGGAGGUGAGAACCCUUAAGGGCGCAUCAUCGACCGAUCCAGAUGUCUUCGGAUGGAUUUGAGUAUGAGCAUAAAUGUUGGGACCCGAAAGAUGGUGAACUAUGCCUGAAUAGGGUGAAGCCAGAGGAAACUCUGGUGGAGGCUCGCAGCGGUUCUGACGUGCAAAUCGAUCGUCAAAUUUGGGUAUAGGGGCGAAAGACUAAUCGAACCAUUACGCUACAGGUGGUUAAUAGAAGCAUUGCGUUCGCACAUGCUUUCAGUCCUUUGGGGCAACAUCACCACUUGCAUGAACACACCUUGGGUUGACAUGCUGCAGUUCUCCGCUUGCUCGGGGUUCUGUUCACAGACCAAAUAGUGAUGGCCAGGGUACCCUCUCGGGGGACGCUUGGUUUAGAAAUGGCCGAGUCCUACUCCUAAUCGAGUCGGUCCUGGGACCGCGGAAAGAUCCCUAUAGAUAAGUGGUUGGUCCCGUUCGGGSCGACUUAGUCACUUGGGAAUUUUUUUCAUGCGGUUGUGCCGCACUUCCUGCGAUCC